GGCCCCUUCGCGGCGAGUGGGCUCCCGUUCCUCCUCGUAGUCCUCUACAGCCCCUUCCCAGCCGUGUUCCGGGCCGCUGCGCCACGGCGCUACCACGCCAGAGAAGGGGAGGACAGGGUCGACAAGGAGGAAGAAAGGAGUCGCCUGGGUUGCCGCGGAUCAUGAGGAGGAGGAGGAGGGAUGGAUACGGGGACUAGAUCGGAGCGCGAGGUCGCGGACCAUCGGUGUCCCAGGUCCAGUUGUUGAGGCAGAGACCAGAAGAUGAGAUGGAGGUGCCAUUGAACGGGCAGGUGCAUGCGCAGCUGCCAGUCCUGAAUCUUGAUCGCCGGUCAGCUGUGUCUGUGGAGGGUUCCUGUCUUCGUGGGCGGUCAAUAUUGGGUCCUCAUGGACCGGGAGGCCCAAGUUGAGGCCCACCUGGAGGAGGCCGUGCAGGCUGGGGCCCGCCGCUCGGUGGGCCUGGUUCCUGGGGACCUGGGCUCGGAGUCGGCGGCUUGCUGGGGGUCUUGGUGAGCUUGCAUAUGUAACUACUGUAGCUAAUAGCAUUCCAAGCAUCUGUAGACAGAACAAAACUGUCCAAAUGUCCGAUCAGAUGCUCAUAAGAUUUUCAGCACCUAUCGUCUAGUUUUUCUUUGGAUCGUGUUAGCAGGAAAUAUUUUCAACCCUAAUGGGCAGAUGGGCUAUGGUUCUUGUAAGGGCAUGUACAUGAGGUGACUCUAAAAAGGUAUAAGAGACAAGUUCUUCUA